rnacentral:rRNA from 1 species
UAGCAUAAUCAUUAGUUUUUUAAUUGAGAACUGGAAUGAAAGGUUAAAUAAGAAAUAAUCUUUAUUAAUUUUAAAAUAUUUGAAUUUGUUUUUUUAGUAAAAAAACUAAAAUUUAUUAAAAAGACGAUAAGACCCUAUAAAGCUUUAUAAUAUAAAAUUUAAUAAUUAAUUAGAAUAAUAAAAAAAUUUUUUUUUUAUUAUUUAAUUGGGGUGAUUUAAAGAUUUAAAAAACUCUUUAAUAAAAAUAAAUCAUAAUUAAAUGUUUUUUGAUCCUUAAUUUUAAGAAUAAUAAAAUAAGUUACUUUAGGGAUAACAGCGUAAUUUUUUUGAAGAGUUCUAAUCGAUAAAAAAGAUUGCGACCUCGAUGUUGAAUUAAGAUAAAAGUUAGGUGUAGAAG